rnacentral:RNase_P_RNA from 1 species
GUGAAAGAUAAUCGCGGCAUCUUUAAAGAUGACGAGGAAAGUCCGAGCUCCAUAGGGCAGGAUGCCGGAUAAUACCCGGCGAGGGUGACCUCAGGGAAAGUGCCACAGAAAUGUGUACCGCCGAUAUAAAUCGGUAAGGGUGGAACGGUGCGGUAAGAGCGCACCAGCAACGGGGUAACUCGUUGGCUAGGUAAACCCCAUCUGGAGCAAGACCGAAUAGGGAAGUAUUGGAGUGGCCCGCUUUACUUCCGGGUUGUGUCGCUAGAGUUUAUAAGUAAUUAUAAAUGUAGAUAAAUGAUUAUCACCGCUUUGCGGAACAGAACUCGGCUUAUUGAUCA